UGAGGAAUAUUGGGCAAUGCCCGAAAGGGUGACCCAGCAACGCCGCGUGGAGGAUGAAGGUCGUAAGAUUGUAAACUCCUGUUAGAGGGGAAGAAUAACUAAGUUUGGAGCUUAGUAUGACUGUACCCUCAGAGAAAGCCCCGGCUAACUACGUGCCAGCAGCCGCGGUAAUACGUAGGCAGCAAGCGUUGUUCGGAGUUACUGGGCGUAAAGAGUGCGUAGGCGGUUUUCUAAGUUCGGUGUGAAAUCUCCCGGCUUAACUGGGAGGGUGCGCCGAAGACUGGGAAGCUGGAGUGUGGGAAAGGCAGGCGGAAUUCCUGGUGUAGCGGUGAAAUGCGUAGAUAUCAGGAGGAACACCGGCGGUGUAGACGGCUUGCUAGACCAUAACUGACGCUGAGGCACGAAAGCGUGGGUAGCAAACA
rnacentral:rRNA from 1 species